CCUUAUUAUUUUGAUGAAUGACAGUGUUGCCUGAGAAGUUCGGCUAUAAUUCUGGGUUCUUCUUCUUUUUGGAAGUAUCUGUUUUCACUAUCUCCACACCGACAUCGGUUCUUGCAGACUGUCAAUGUGGUUUUCGGUUCAAUUUUCAGUCUAUGUUGGGUUUCGGUUUGAUUACACUUAACAAAACCUGUUUUUUGCUUUCCGAUUUUGUUGAAACAGAAGAAGAGGAGGAGGAGGAAGAAGAAGAAGAAGAGGGAGACGGGAAGAAGUUGUCGCUCGAUUCGAACAAAUCAUCUCAGGGGUAUUGUUCCUGCUGCAGUUUGGGGUUUGAGUGAUUGAUUUGAGGACGUUGAAGGUUGAAGUUUGGAUCUUGGUUGUAAUCUGAAAACAGAGUUCUGCCAAAAACAAGUAAAACAGAGAUGGAGCUAUCCCUGGUCUCACUUGAAAGAAACCUCCUUAAAGGGAUGAAGAAGCCGUGAAGAAAUCAACGCUGGUCUGCGCCGAAACAUUGAAGAACGAGGCAAUCCAAGGAUCUUUUCUAGAAGCAUACUACACCACAAUAAGGACUGCUGCCUUCUUCCUUGCCUAGCAGUUUUUGGUUUCUCAACUUUCUCUCUAUUUACUUUCCUUGCUGCUGCCUCCAUGCACUUUGGCAUCCGUUGCUGUGACAGGCAAGCAGAAAAACAUGGAACUACAUCAUCAUCAUCAGCACCAUUGUCAGCUGCUAAAUAGAAAAACAAUUGAAUUGAAAUAGCUAUGUUAUAUAGCUUUUGCUAGACUAAUCAAUUUCGUGCAGCUGCAACUACAACUCCAAUCGGAGCCGUCACUUUUUUGAACCAACACUAGCAUUUUACAAAGCUGCAACUGAAACAACCAACUGGAGUACUUUGUACAAACUGACUCCUUAAAUUCACUCCAGCAGCUCCUUUUGAUAGAUUAACCUAUCUCUUAUAUCCUUUUUGUAAAGCUACAACUAGAAUAGCUAGCCUUUUUGUGCAGCUAGCAUGUUUGCAUCAUCUCCUUUCAAAUAGACUGCAGCUAAAAUCUAAGAUGUAUGAAAACUGUUUUCACUAUUUGAAUGAAAUGUGAUGAUUUUC